rnacentral:rRNA from 1 species
AUUGAACGCUGGCGGCAGGCCUAACACAUGCAAGUCGAGCGAGAGGCGGACGGGGGUGAAAUGUAUGGGGACUGCCCGCUAGAGGGGGAUAACUACUGGAACCGGUAGCUAAUACCGCAUACUAUCGGAUAACCCAUAUGGGAUUAGCUAGUAGGGGAGGUAAUGGCUCACCUAGGCGACGAUCCCUAGCUGGUCUGAGAGGAUGAUCAGCCAAUCUGGGACGAGGACACGGCCCAGACUCCUACGGAGGCAGCAUGGGGGAUUAUUGCACAAUGGGCGCAAGCCUGAUGCGGCCAUUCGGCGGGUAUGAAGAGGGCCCUAGGGUUGUAAAGUACUUUCAGUCGGGAGGCGUUACCGACAGAAGAAGCACCGGCUAACUCCGUGCCAGCCGCCGCGGUAAUAC